GCUGUCGUGGUGUUGUUGGUUAUCACGUCAAUCUAACACGCUGAAGGUCUCGGGUUCGAGUCCCGACGACGCA